rnacentral:rRNA from 1 species
CUUGGUCAUUUAGAGGAAGUAAAAGUCGUAACAAGGUUUCCGUAGGUGAACCUGCGGAAGGAUCAUUAUCGAAUGAAUCAAGAGUCGGUUGUAGCUGGCCCUCCGGGGCAUGUGCACGCCUUCUCUUUUAUCCACACACACCUGUGAACUCGUGAGACGGGAAGCCCCUCGGGGCGGCCCGUCUGCCCUUAUUAUAAACUCAUAUAUUGUAAAACGAAUGUACACGAUGUAAACACAUCUUUAAACUAAGUUUCAACAACGGAUCUCUUGGCUCUCGCAUCGAUGAAGAACGCAGCGAAAUGCGAUAAGUAAUGUGAAUUGCAGAAUUCAGUGAAUCAUCGAAUCUUUGAACGCACCUUGCGCUCCUUGGUAUUCCUCGGAGCAUGCCUGUUUGAGUAUCAUGAAAUCCUCAAAGCAAUACCUUUUGUUCAUUCGAUCGGUUUUGUUUUGGACUUGGAGGUCUGCAGAUUCACGUCUGCUCCUCUUAAAUAUAUUAGCUGGAUCUCGGUGAGCUCGGUUCCACUCGGCGUGAUAAGUAUCACUCGCUGAGGACACUGUUAAAAAGGUGGCCGGGAUUGCAGACGAACCGCUUCUAAUGGUCUAUUAGAUUAGACAAAUCACUCUUAUGAUUUGAUCUCAAAUCAGGUAGGACUACCCGCUGAACUUAAGCAUAUCAAUAAGCGGAGGAAAAGAAACUAACAAGGAUUCCCCUAGUAACGGCGAGUGAAGCGGGAAGAGCUCAAAUUUAAAAUCUGGCAGUGUAUUCUGUCCGAGUUGUAGUCUAGAGAAGCAUCAUCCGUGCUGGACCAUGUACAAGUCUCUUGGAACAGAGCGUCAUAGAGGGUGAGAAUCCCGUCCUUGACAUGGACUCCCAGUGCUUUGUGUUGUGCUCUCAACGAGUCGAGUUGUUUGGGAAUGCAGCUCAAAAUGGGUGGUAAAUUCCAUCUAAAGCUAAAUAUUGGCGAGAGACCGAUAGCGAACAAGUACCGUGAGGGAAAGAUGAAAAGCACUUUGGAGAGAGAGUUAAACAGUACGUGAAAUUGUUGAAAUGGAAACGAUUGAAGUCAGUCGCGUUCUCUGGGAUUCAGCCUUGCUUCUGCUUGGUGCAUUUCCUAGUCUACGGGCCAGCAUGGAUUUUGACCGUUGGAAAAGGGCUGGGGGAAUGUGGCACUUUCGGGUGUGUUAUAGCCCCCUGUCGGAUGCAUCGGUUGGGAUCGAGGACCUCAGUGCACGCUUCGGUUGUGCUUUGAUGCUGGCGUAAUGGCUUUAAACGACCCGUCUUGAAACACGGACC